CAGGGCAGGGCUUUUUGUCUAUCCUGUUCCCUGAUGGAUCCCAAGUGCCUGAUCCAGUGCCUUGCACAGAGUCUCUCAGGCUGCCCUCACCCCUGGGGGAAGUGGGGGAUGAAUUUGGCAGAGCUGGCCUCAGGAGGUGGAUGGCCUUGCUUCAGAGGCUCUCUGUCAAAACUCUUUCUACUGCUCAAUCAUCUUCCUGGGAAAAAAUAUCAGAUGGCAGGAUCGAGAGGGAGCAGUGUUGCCUGGACAGUGUGGGAAGUAAAUGGCACAGUAUGGGAUUAAAGAAGGAUAUUUGGUAAGUCCUGAACUUGUGUCCCACAAUCAGUUUUCCUCAGACAGGACAAUAAGACACUGCAGGCCUCAGAAGGA
rnacentral:lncRNA from 1 species